rnacentral:tRNA from 1 species
GAGUGUGUAGCUCAAGUGGUAGAGUACAUUGCUUAGCAUGCAGCAGGUCCUGGGUUCAAUCCCCAGUACCUCCU